AUUGAACGCUAGCGGGAUGCCUUACACAUGCAAGUCGAACGGAGUGGCGGACGGGUGAGUAAUGUCUGGGAACGUGCCGCGUCGCGGGGGAUAACUACUGGAAACAGUAGCUAAUACCGCAUACUAUUGGCUCGGCCCAUAUCGGAUUAGCUAGUGGGUGGGGUAACGGCUCACCUAGGCAACGAUCCCUAGCUGGUUUGAGAGGAUGACCAGCCACACUGGAACUGAGACACGGCCCAGACUCCUACGGGAGGCAGCAGUGGGGAAGUUUGGACAAUGGGGGAAACCCGGAUGCAGCCAUCCCGCGUGUAUGAAGAAGGCCUGCGGGUUGUAAAGUACUUUCGGCAGAGAAGCGGUAUCUGCAGAAGAAGCACCGGCUAACUCCGUGCCAGCAGCCGCGGGAAUAC
rnacentral:rRNA from 1 species